GCAGCUGUGGUGGAGUGGACUUGACCUGGAGGUAGAAGACUGGGCUUCAGCCCUAGCUUUACCAGGCAACCGGCUAUAUGGCUUUGAACCUUCUGCAUCACUUCCCACUCGAAGAUUUGCUCACUCCUGGAACAGAAUUUUCUUUGGACGGCUGUCCUGGCAAUGGUGACUUAUUCCCCUACUCCACCCACCACUGGUCUUUGUCGCAAGCCUGAGAAAAUGUAGCUGUGCACCUGGGAGUCUGCAGCCAGGACCAGAUAGGACUGUACAGGUAUAUUGCUGGUCCUACCAACUGAAAGAAAACUGCUUCUGAUGGUCUUCACCAUGGAGAAAAAAAAAAUUGACGGAUCAAUAGCUGCAUACUGGAGGAUGUGUUAAUUUGCUUCAGUAAAGAAACAAUAGCUGAAAUAGCAGCUGGAUUUGGAGUCACUACGUGAUUAAGUUUAUGAAAAUCCACUAUAAUUUUCCAAGAUACAUCUGUCUUCUGUAGAGGCCAAAUAGGCACAGGCAGACCAAUGUGGGAGACAGAUAAGGACACGUUGCAGAGUGGUGUGAGAACUGCCAUAAGGAAGCACCCAAGGCUGUGUGAUGUGGGCACAGAGGCAAGUGUUCUACAUGUAGAAGCCACGUAAGUGAUUGGAUGAAUUCACCAGAUUAGCUUGAUUCUUGUCGUCUUGCUGUGGGUUUUCAAAUUGAUAAUUAAUAAAGAAAACAAAGUGGGCCAUGCACAAAUGUCUGGGAAGUUGCUCAUAGAAAUUUCUUUGACUAGCUAUUUAGAAUCAAAAUAAAGUCAGUUUAAACAUCCUCUGAAGAAAUGCCUCUGUCCUCAGUAGGACUUUUCUGAAGACUACAGCGACAAAUGGCAAACAGGCAUCCUGGAAGAAAUUGACCAGUACAUGUGAGCCUCUCUUUACUUGGUUAGCUUAGUCAUUGCUUCUCAUGUUUUGAGGUCUCAAAGAGCCAUGUGAGUCAAUGAACCGCAUGUAACCAAGGACAGAAGGUUCUGGUUGAAGGCUUUUUUUUUUUUGUCUUUCACAAUAUGAAAACAAAAGACUGAAGGACAGGGCCUUAAAGAUCAGAGAGAGAGAAUAUUCCCUCAUUUCAUCUAGAUAGUAAAAUGUCCUUCCUUCUUCAACCUCUAUCUACCUUCAGAGAUGAUUUCUUAACAUGAAAUGUAAUAUGUCUGCCAGAGGACUGUUCCGAUUAUUUAUUGCUGUGUAAUUAACCACACCAAAACCUUGUCACUUAAAACACUACUAUUCAUUUUGCUUACAAAUCCCCAAUUUGGGCUACGCUUCAUAAGGAUGACUGUUCUCUUUUCCAGAUGACGUCAGCUGAGGCAGCUUGACUGUGGCGGGUGGUUCCACUUCCAAGAUGGUUCAUUCCAUGGCUAACAAGCUGCUGCUGACUGUUGGCUGGUAGCUCAGCUGGGAAACAAAGUUGGGGGCCUUGUUUUCUUUCCACUUUGGCCUCUCCCUUGGGAUGCUUGGGUUUUCUCAAAACAUGGUAUCUGGGUUCCAAGCUAGUGUUCCAAGAGACAGGAAACAGAACUGCCAGUCUAUUGAGAUCUGGGCCCAGAAACUGUCACAGCAUUACUUCCAUAAUCCAUUGGUCAAAGAAGAUACAGAGCCACUCACAUGCAAGGGGAGGGGGCAUUGACCCCACCUCUCUAUUGGAGGAGUGUCAAUAUCUUGACGGGCAUCUUUAAUCUACCACAAAUGCCCAAGCCCAGUCCUAUUUCUGUUAUUGUUAAGCCCCAUGAGAGUCUUGGGGUCAAACACAGUGGAAGGGGAGAGCAUACUAUGGAAUAGAUGGUUGAGAAGGAUAAACCCGGAUACAGGAGGCUUUUGCUGUUGCAGAGAUGUAGGGACAGAGGUAAGAGUUAGGCGAAAUUCUUCUCAGGUUAAUUUCAGUGAACUCAUCAUUCUUGAAGUUGCUGCUUUUGUCCUGUCUUUCUUCCUGGGUUUUUAUCUUUGGCUAACUCCAGAUUCUGAUUUUCUUCCCUUCUAUUUGUUGUGCUGUGCUCAUUUCUCAGCCUCUGAUGAUUGUUUUUUUCCUCUACUUAUUUAGUUCAUACAACCAAUUCUGUCCUUUCCCCUUUUCUUUUAUCUUAUAUUCCCUCAUAUUUACUUCCCUGUAAUUUAAAUAAAUUACGAUGUGGUAA